rnacentral:rRNA from 1 species
AACGAACGCUGGCGGCGUGCCUAACACAUGCAAGUCGAACGGAAGUAGAGAGCUUGCUUUCUACUUUAGUGGCGCACGGGUGAGUAACGCGUAGAUAAUCUGCCUGAUGAUCCGGAAUAACAUCUCGAAAGGGGUGCUAAUACCGGAUAAGACCACGGGAUCUCUGGAUUCUGCGGUAAAAGGUGGGGACCUUCGGGCCUACCGUCAUCGGAUGAGUCCGCGUACCAUUAGCUAGUUGGCAGGGUAAUGGCCUACCAAGGCAACGAUGGUUAGCUGGUCUGAGAGGAUGAUCAGCCACACUGGAACUGAGACACGGUCCAGACUCCUACGGGAGGCAG